rnacentral:rRNA from 1 species
CCUACGGGUGGCUGCAGUGGGGAAUAUUGGACAAUGGGGGCAACCCUGAUCCAGCCAUGCCGCGUGUGUGAAGAAGGCCCUCGGGUUGUAAAGCACUUUCAGUGAGGAAGAACGCCUGGUGGUUAAUACCCAUCAGGAAAGACAUCACUCACAGAAGAAGCACCGGCUAACUCCGUGCCAGCAGCCGCGGUAAUACGGAGGGUGCGAGCGUUAAUCGGAAUUACUGGGCGUAAAGCGCGCGUAGGUGGCUUGAUAAGCCGGUUGUGAAAGCCCCGGGCUCAACCUGGGAACGGCAUCCGGAACUGUCAAGCUAGAGUGCAGGAGAGGAAGGAAGAAUUCCCGGUGUAGCGGUGAAAUGCGUAGAGAUCGGGAGGAAUACCAGUGGCGAAGGCGGCCUUCUGGACUGACACUGACACUGAGGUGCGAAAGCGUGGGUAGCAAACAGGAUUAGAUACCCUGGUAGUC